AUCGAACGCUGGCGGCAGGCUUAACACAUGCAAGUCGAGCGAGCGGCGGACGGGUGAGUAUUGUAUGGGGUCUCCCCGCUUUCGGGGGAUAACUACUGGAAACGGUGGCUCAUACCGCAUACUCUCUCAUACCCCAGAUGGAAUUAGCUAGUAGGUAAGGUAAGGGCUUACCUAGGCGACGAUCCCUAGCUGGUCUGAGGGGAUGAUCAGCCACACGGGGACUGAGACACGGCCCAGAGUCCUACGGAGGCAGCAGUGGGGAAUAUUGGAAAAUGGGGGAAAGCCUGAUGCAGCCAUGCCGGGUGUAUGAAGAAGGCCCUAGGGUUGUAAAGUACGUUCAGUCGGGAGGCGUUACCGACAGAAGAAGCACCGGCUAACUCCGUGCCAGCAGCCGCGGUAAUAC
rnacentral:rRNA from 1 species